rnacentral:rRNA from 1 species
GACAGAGGAUGCAAGCGUUAUCCGGAAUGAUUGGGCGUAAAGCGUCUGUAGGUGGCUUGUCACGUCGGGUGUGAAAGCCCGGGGCUUAACCCCGGGUCUGCAUUCGAAUACGGGCUGGCUAGAGUGUGGUAGGGGAGAUCGGAAUUCCUGGUGUAGCGGUGAAAUGCGCAGAUAUCAGGAGGAACACCGAUGGCGAAGGCAGAUCUCUGGGCCGUAACUGACGCUGAGGAGCGAAAGCAUGGGGAGCGAACAGG